GUGGGGAAUCUUCCGCAAUGGACGAAAGUCUGACGGAGCAACGCCGCGUGAGUGAAGAAGGUUUUCGGAUCGUAAAGCUCUUUCGUUAGGGACGAACGUGCUCUUUGUGAAUAAUGAGGAGUAAUGACGGUACCUAAAUAAGAAGCCACGGCUAACUACGUGCCAGCAGCCGCGGUAAUACGUAGGUGGCAAGCGUUGUCCGGAAUUAUUGGGCGUAAAGCGCGCGCAGGCGGGAUAUCAAGUCUGUCUUAAAAGUGCGAGGCUCAACCUCGUGAGGGGACAGAAACUGGGAUGCUUGAGUGUCGGAGAGGAAAGUGGAAUUCCAAGUGUAGCGGUGAAAUGCGUAGAGAUUUGGAAGAACACCAGUGGCGAAGGCGACUUUCUGGACGAUGUCUGACGCUGAGGCGCGAAAGCUAGGGGAGCGAACGGGAUUAGAUACCCCGGUAGUCC
rnacentral:rRNA from 1 species